rnacentral:rRNA from 1 species
GGAAUAUUGGACAAUGGGCGAAAGCCUGAUCCAGCAAUGCCGCGUGAGUGAUGAAGGCCUUAGGGUUGUAAAGCUCUUUUACCCGGGAUGAUAAUGACAGUACCGGGAGAAUAAGCUCCGGCUAACUCCGUGCCAGCAGCCGCGGUAAUACGGAGGGAGCUAGCGUUGUUCGGAAUUACUGGGCGUAAAGCGCACGUAGGCGGCGCCGCAAGUCAGGGGUGAAAUCCCGGGGCUCAACCCCGGAACUGCCCUUGAAACUGCAGUGCUAGAAUCCUGGAGAGGUGAGUGGAAUUCCGAGUGUAGAGGUGAAAUUCGUAGAUAUUCGGAGGAACACCAGUGGCGAAGGCGGCUCACUGGCUCGAUACUGACGCUGAGGUGCGAAAGCGUGGGGAGCAAAC